rnacentral:miRNA from 1 species
CAAGUUUGGUGUUUAUGACGUCGAUAUUCGACGUCAUAAACACCAUCAAGUUUGGUGUUUAUGAUGUCGAAUAUCGACGUCAUAAACACCA